ensembl:lincRNA Rmst rhabdomyosarcoma 2 associated transcript (non-coding RNA)
UGACCCUGGAGGACAAGAGCAUUCUUCUGACAAGUUUUAGCAUGGACUAUCCUCAGGAAAAUGAGAUCCAGGAAGAGUGACGCCCUCCUCGAACUGAAAGAUACUCAGGCUGAUGGAGUCAGGGACGAAGUGGCUUAUCAACAACACAGGAUGUCUGCAGGGAACAGAACUUAUUCAGACAUGGCCCAGAUUGUCUGCCCGUGGGGACUGAGGGACCUCUGAGGGUUACAUCAGGAAGGAAGGAGAGGCUGUUUCUACAGGUGCCACAGAAAAAUCGAUGCUGAGCCUCGGAUUAUUGGAUCCCAUAGAACCGUGGAGACUUGGCAGUGAAAUUCUUCCAAAGCAUUCCAUCUGCGCAGGCAGGCAGAGGUUUUCCUGGUUUGGGAAGUAUAAAUCCCGUGGGAAGUCAACUGGAGGACAUUUUACGCGUCACUCAUCCUAUUAUGAGCCUGCUGCUCCUCCGUCUCUUGACAAGUUGGCAGCUAAAGGACAGGAGCAGCAAUAAGGCUUCCUGGCUACAUUUUCAUGGUGCCACCAACUGCGAGUUAAGCUGACAAACAUUUUGAGAGCUCGGCCCAUUUCAUUCCCAGCAGGAUGGCAGGAGUUAACUAAAACAGAAUAAACUAAAAAUUGUGCCUUCAUUGCACAUUUGCACUGAUUAUCAGCACUGAAAAUGGCUAAGUUCUGCUUAUCAAGGAAAUAAUAUGCUCCAGAGAAUCCUCUAAUUCACCGAAAAUGGACUUGGAUAACAUUUGGGUUCUCAUACUACCACAGUCCUCUUGA